rnacentral:snoRNA from 1 species
CCUACCCAUACAGUCUGACAAGUGUGGAUGUUGUAUCACAUGUAUAUCAGGAAGUGGCAGAGAGGAAACAGGCUAUGUCUACCCUCAAUAUUCUGACCUAUGAACAUCUGAAAAACCAGUAGCUUA